rnacentral:rRNA from 1 species
AGAGUUUGAUCCUGGCUCAGGACGAACGCUGGCGGCGUGCCUAAUACAUGCAAGUAGAACGCUGAAGACUUUAGCUUGCUAGAGUUGGAAGAGUUGCGAACGGGUGAGUAACGCGUAGGUAACCUGCCUAUUAGC